GACGAACGCUGGCGGCGUGCCUAAUACAUGCAAGUCGGGCGGACCGAACGAGGGCUUGCUCUUGUUUGGUCAGCGGCGGACGGGUGAGUAACACGUGGGCAACCUGCCCGCAAGACCGGGAUAACUCCGGGAAACCGGAGCUAAUACCGGAUAACACCGAAGACCGCAUGGUCUUCGGUUGAAAGGCGGCCUUUGGGCUGUCACUUGCGGAUGGGCCCGCGGCGCAUUAGCUAGUUGGUGAGGUAACGGCUCACCAAGGCGACGAUGCGUAGCCGGCCUGAGAGGGUGACCGACCACACUGGGACUGAGACACGGCCCAGACUCCUACGGGAGGCAGCAGUAGGGAAUCUUCCGCAAUGGGCGAAAGCCUGACGGAGCGACGCCGCGUGAGCGAAGAAGGCCUUCGGGUCGUAAAGCUCUGUUGUGAGGGACGAAGGAGCGCCGUUCGAAGAGGGCGGCGCGGUGACGGUACCUCACGAGAAAGCCCCGGCUAACUACGUGCCAGCCGCCGCAGUAA
rnacentral:rRNA from 1 species